rnacentral:lncRNA from 1 species
UUCCCCCCAGAAGCCUCUUAGUCAGAAUAAGCUAGGUUAUACGACAGUACCUAACUGCUCUAAAAUCUCAUGGGUGUAAAACAAAGGCUUAUUUCUUGCUCAUGUUCUAUCCCCAAUGUGGUUAGCAGAGAGAUUCUGCUCAUCCUUGUUACUCACAGACCUGGCUGAUGGAGACUCUGCCAUCUUAUGAUGCCACCAUCUCAACAUGAGGCAUCAGGCUUUGUAGCAGCAGGGAAGAGAGCACUGGAGAGGUGAUGACGUCAGCCCAGAAGUGAUAGACAUCACUUCUCAUUAUGUUUCAUUGUGAAAAAGUCUGAAGUACUCACCUGAGCACAUCUCUCUUGAAAGGCAUGGACUUUCCUCCAUGUUCCCAGAAGUAGAAGAUAACCAGACAUAGGAAUAUUUAUAAUGCUGACCACAUGGGGCAAGGAACAUUGAGCAUGCCUAACCCAUGAUGCUAAGCAAAACAAGUGCCCUGAAGUCCCCUAGUUCAUUUUUUUAAAGACCAUUUAUUUGUUUCUCUGAAUUAAUUCAACCUACUUGCAGAGACAGAUUAUGAACCACACAAAAUUGCCAUGGCUGAAUAUUGGCAAUUUCAUAUGGUUCAACAUAAUAAUAUUUAUGGAAUGGUGUACAUGUAUCUAAAAUUGACUUUAUUAAAGAAAUGACUCUCACCAUGAACUGCAUUUUGGGAAGGCAGGGAGUAUAUGAUGCUCUGGUGUGAAAACAGCAUCUUUACAAGAGGGACGCUGGAGAAAGUUGAGAAUAAGCAUCCCCGUCUUCAGUCCCCUUUUCGAGACACAGUGGAUUUAUGUAUAUUUGUUUUAAGAAAGUCACAUUGUAUGACCCCAGGAAAGUGAGAGGAGAGAGGAGCAAAAUCUGGAAGCAUGUUGCUAUCUGAUUCUCUUACAAUUUCCUGUCUUUAUUGUUGGUUUCAUCUCCCUUCCUUCUAUCUCACUUCACCUCUUGGAGAGCUCACACAGUCAGCUUGGUUUCAUUUGGAAAGCUCCAUCCCAGCAGGAUGUCUCUCCCGCCCAGUUGUGUGGAGACUGGCUAUUGUGAUGACUGAACCAAUUAUUCUUAGGGGAUACAGACGCGGACAGGAUCCCUCUGGAGGAAAAUGGAGCCCAAUUGGACAUAGGAUACAAGAUCGGUUUUCAAAGACUAAAUUGUGUCUUGACUAUCUGAUUCAAUGUCAUAUAAUCCUUUUUCAGAAGUACAGCACCAAGUAUUUCCAAAAUUUUUUAAAUUAUAACAGCAAUUAUGUUCUUUUCUUUACACCAUCUAAUCUCAGCAUGGUUAAUGAAACCAAAAAAAAAAAAAGAAAAUAAAUUCAAAAGAAAAACUAGCAAAGGAUGUUAAGCAAAGUUUGGUUUUACUACACUCUAAAUAUUACUAUUUUGAGAUGAAAAUGUUCAUAUUCAAAUGCAGUCACUUUGCACGGAUCAUGAGAUUGUGACCAGACAAUGCAAAUUAGAUCAUCCAGUUAAUCCUACAGGUAUUCACGAUCCUUUAGUCCAAAAGGCCAACAUCUUCUCUUGUGGCCUUUGAUGCUGAGUGUCCAAGGUGGUGUUCUGGGUUGACGCAUGACAAGUUUACGGUUUGCAGCACAAAUCCCCGAAGAAGCAUAAAUUCACAGGCUUAUUAUGCAGGUUUUUCACGUAUGUAAGGGCAUGUGGCUAUGGUUAUCGAGUAGGUGCCUUCAGAGAUAUAAAAAAGAAAAAGAAAACCUUUUACUCCUCCUGAAGAUUCAGGAUUCGGCCCUGCUGGAAUCCUGGCUUGCUUCCUUCCCUCUGAAGGGUCCUCUUCUUUCUUUUCCUCAUCUACUCGUUCCAUUGAAAUCAUGUGUUCCCUCUCCUAACGCAAUAUUUUAUUCACCUGUGCAGAUAACGCCAACUUUAUCAUGAGUCCUGCACCUUCUGGUGCCUGCUAUACUAGUUUUCUAUCGCUGCUGUAACAGCCUGACCCAAAGUUAGCAGCUGAAGACAAUGCAAAUUUAUUAUCUCGGAGUUGUGUGGUUCAGAAGUCAAAGUGGGCUCAGCUGGUUACUGUGCUCAUGGUCUCACAAGGCCAAAAUUAAGGUGCUGGCCAUCCCGGGCUUUCAUCUGGAGAUCCUGAGAGAGAAUCGCAUCUAGGUUCAUUCAGGUGGUUGGCAGAAUCCAGUUCCUCGGGGUUCCAGGACUGAGGUCCCAGUUUCCUCGCUGUCAGCUGUGGGUUGUUCACAGCUCCUAGAUGCUGCCUGUAUUCUCCACCACCUUGUCCCCUCCAUCUUUACAACAGCAACAGUCCACUGUGUCCUUCUCAUGCUUCAGCUCCCUAUGACUUCCCCUUCUGCCAUCUCUCUUCCUCUUCCAAAUUCUCUGCUUUUAAGGGCUCAUGUGAUCCCAUUGGGCCCACCCUGGAUAAACCAGGAUAAUCUCCCUAUUUAAGGUCAGCUGAUGAGUAACCUUAAUUACAUCUAUAGAGUUCCUUUUGCCAUGUAACAUAAUAUAACCAUGGGAG